rnacentral:rRNA from 1 species
UACGAAGGGUGCAAGCGUUAAUCGGAAUUACUGGGCGUAAAGGGUGCGUAGGCGGUUCGUUAAGUCUGUCGUGAAAUCCCCGGGCUCAACCUGGGAAUGGCGAUGGAUACUGGCGAGCUAGAGUGUGUCAGAGGAUGGUGGAAUUCCCGGUGUAGCGGUGAAAUGCGUAGAGAUCGGGAGGAACAUCGGUGGCGAAGGCGGCCAUCUGGGACAACACUGACGCUGAAGCACGAAAGCAUGGGGAGCGAACAGG